CUUCUUCCUCUCCAUCUCCUCGGUUAGCACGGAUCUCCAUGAGCGUACGGGCAAAUUUGCUCCAGUCGUCUGUAUGUGGCACGGCCAACUGCUAAAAUGGACAGAUACAACCGACUUCUGCAUCACAUCUUCACGAUCCAGACAUGGCCCUCUGAAUCACCCACGGCCACCUCUCUGCCCCCUGAUGCCCAUCUGACCCGGUUCAGCGCGCACCCUCCCUCCACUGUCACGCUUGCUGAUGGCACCUGGUACACACAGAAAGCUUGUUUUGGGAGCGGAAAUAAGACAGUCGGCUGAGUGAAGAAUACAAUGAGCUGCAGUGCUGACCUCUGUGUAGUUGUUGAGGUUCCAGAGGUCCAGGCGACCAUUGCCAUCCACUGUAGCAAACAGCGCUGGAUGUACU